rnacentral:tmRNA from 1 species
CGGUUCGGACUUCGCUAUCGCCGCUUAAUUGGCUUUAGUUGUAGUUCUACAGCCGCCUAAGGCGAACCCCCGAAACUACUUGUGCCCGUGCUCGUAGAUGUAGGGUCAUUAUCACGGAACCGCCGGUAGUGGCUGCCUGUCAGCUAUCGGUUAGAUCAAGCAGGCUGGUUUUCAGGUGCGCUUUGCCCGCCGUGCUGCCUGGGAACGAGAUCUAACGGAGGGAUAAGCAUGUAGUGCUGGGGAUGGAGUGCUUCCGGACGGCGGUUCGAUUCCGCCCACCUCCACCA